rnacentral:rRNA from 1 species
UACAGAGGUCCCAAGCGUUGUUCGGAUUCACUGGGCGUAAAGGGUGCGUAGGCGGUCGGGUAAGUCUGAUGUGAAAUCUCACAGCUUAACUGUGAAACUGCAUUGGAUACUAUUCGGCUUGAGAGUUGGAGGGGGGACUGGAAUUCUUGGUGUAGCAGAGAAAUGCGUAGAUAUCAAGAGGAACACCAGUGGCGAAGGCGAGUCCCUGGACAACUUCUGACGCUGAGGCACGAAAGCUAGGGGAGCAAACAGG